AAGUGAAGCAAGACUACCUACUAUAUGUGCUUGAACUCCGUUAGGACCCGGAAGACGACACACUGCAGUGAGGGAGGUUAAACAUUUAGGAGUUUCACUGAGACGGGUAGAAGAUCAUUAUCGCUGCGCAUUUGGAAACGCGCGCUAGGGCUCUUGGUAUGCGCUUUUUCAAUCGCUGUAGUCUACAAAUAGUCUGCAUAGAUUGGUUCUAUAAAUUUUUUUGUUUCACAUUUCGAUUGUUGUAUAGUUUUUUUUUCCAAAUAAAUGUAUUAUAGACUUUAAAAAAAGUAGCAUUUCGGGCAACCAUGAGUAAAUCUGGAACAUUAAAAAUAAAGAAUUUGUUUCAUAAAACAAAGUCACCGGAUAAAGAAAACAAGGAAGGGGAAAAGCACACAUGUAAAGAUGCAACUUCAUAUGGAGAUGGAGAGCUUGCGAGCCCAGGCCCGAGAUUACCGUCGAGUCCCGGACUUGUCAGCCCCGUCAGCCCCCUGGAUGGGACGCUGCAUAGGAGCCCAGCAAGUGAGAAGAAAAUGAAGAAGAAACGGUUCUUGUCCUUGCAGCUCAAGAAGAAAGGCUCAAAGGAGGCAGGGCGCAUCGACAACCCACUGUUCUAUAACGGUGCUGACGAGAUCGACAGCUUCAGCAGUAACAUGAGUUUUGACCAACUGAGCGUGAAAACAGAAUACAGCACCACGACUGACAGGGAUGCUACGUCCAUGAUCAGCUAUGACAUGUCAGCCUUCAACAGCCUCAGCCCCAGCAAGUCCAAAAAUAAGGUAUGUCACAAUAUAGUAGACUACAAUGUUGUGUUGUGGAGAAGUCAUCUGGAAAUAUACGUUCUAUAUUUGAAUUACUGUACUUUUAAACCCCACCCUCUUUACAUUCUGUGAGGCCAAUCUAAAGUAAUUUAGGACAGACUCAUCUAAGAGUAAUGAUGAAAUGUGACUAUACUAUACAUAGUAGCAAAACAUACUGUACCAUACAUGUUUUACCAUAGUUCUGUUCUACAAUUGUCAAAAGUAUGUGUCAAACAGAGAGUACUUUCAGAGUGGUUAGAUUCAUAUGCAACACACUUGAUAUUGAUCAAAACAAUGACUAAACAUAAUUUCAGAGUGACAGAAUCUGUCUCUUAGAUUGGAGACAUUUACCCCAUACUACUGCUUGCCACUGCUUGCACUGAGCCUGGCUGUGCAGUCAUAUAGAAGGUGUGCAGAUGAGGGCAGUAUUGACUCACUUUGUAGGGCCCUGGCUGGAAAAGAGGUAAGGUAAAUCACAAACCAGUCCCUCCCUCCCUCCUCACUCCUCGGCCCUCCAUUUGCACGAUCAAGUGUUAUUGAGGAUGUAGGUGCUAAUUAGACCAUUUGAUAGCCACUUCAACCGAGCCAGCAAGGCCGCAGGCUUCAGGGCGAAGUGCUAUCCCAACACGCACCGCGAUAUGUACAUAAACAGUACAGCAGUUCAGAUUCUUCAGACAGACCCCUCAAUAAAAGUUUGAGUCAGUUUAUAGCUUCAUAUUAUGCAAUAUUUAGGUUUUGAAUACCGAUCUAUAUGAUAAUUUCUUCAAUGCCUUGGGGCAUUAAGAUAAAUGUAAGAGACGUUUAUCAGAAGCCUCUUAAAGUUGUAUACAAAUCAUUAGGGUUGAAGGGUAAAAUAUAUGCCCACCUACAGAUGCAGUAUCUUAAUUUGACCUAUAUUGUCACAGCAAAAUAAUGCUGCAGCAACAGGAUUUGAACGCUUACUCCAUAAUGUUGCUUGAUCGGUGGUUCGGCUAUUUUCUGGCCAAAAGUAGGCUACAUGAAAAGUGCUAUACUGUUAAUAUAAUCAUGUGCUAGUGUGGGCUUACAGUGAAUGUAUAUAAAUUAUUAAAAUAAUCUGCAUUUCCUGCGGUGCAGGAAAAUUCUCAACACCAAAAGAGUGAUCAAAUUAGAAUCCUACACCUGUAUUACAUAACAUCAUAGAUAUCGUAGGUGAGAUGGGAUGGUAGAAAUGAUAUGUUAGGACUGAAUUUCUUCCUGUGUUAUUCUCCAUUGGCACCUACUUGUCCAACCUGUUGUCCAACAUGUGCACUGUAUAUUAUAGUAGUUAUGAAUUAUGAAUUAUUAUUAUUAAUGGGGUAGGAUUCACUAUCUAUGUUCUAUUGAUAUCAAUCCAGCUUUCACAAAUACGUAAUUGAAUACAUUAAUCCGUUCAAGAAGAAUGAUGUUUUCCCUGGAAACUUCGUUACUGGAGUAGAAAGAAUAGGAUCCUGUGUCUUUUAUUUUAUUCAUUAAAAUUAAGAAUUUCUAAGCUAGGCAUACAAUUUGGAAAAUGAACUUGAACACAUUAACCACUAAGUUUGUGCCUGUACCUGUCAUGUGUUUCCUGAAAGGUCUGAGGCCAUUUGGAAACAAAAGAACAAUCAGCUCUGUUUCAACAGGACUUUUUAAUAGGUGAAAGUCCUGUGGAGAUCCAGAGUCUGUUUCUAUUACUGAAGAAGGAUGUGCACAGGUCCAUAUGAAACAACAACAGCAAGUCAUUCAACUCAUGCCAGUUAUAGGCACGAAAGGGCAAAAAUGUACAUCCUUUCGUGUGUCAGAGUUGGUCGAACCAUUCACACUGUACACAGCUAAAUCAUGCAAUGAUUAGCAAAUGUACAUAUUGUGUUGGGUACAACCAAAAUAUAUGUUUUUUUCCCCCUUGUCUUUUCCACUGUAUUAUGAUAUUGAUAAAGAUGUCCCGGGGCUACUGACUUGCCCCAGUUUGAUUGAGGGAAGAAGGGUGGAGAUGUUAGUCAGACAUCCGUGUCCAUACAUUCUCAUUGGAUAAUUAGUUCAUGUGGGGUUUUUUUUAUGUGAAAGCUCUUUCACAAUAGCCUUUAUGCUGCACCUGUGAUAGAAGUGGAAUUAUGCCCUGAAGCAAUGUACCUUAGUUUGUUUGAUACAAGUCUACUCAGGGCUAGACAGAUAUAGAUACACACGGAUAUCACACACUCUCUGUCUGUCUCUCUAUCUGUCUGUGAAGGUAGACAGUUCACUUAUUGUAUUUGGCGGCAUUGACUUUUAUCCCAGCUUAGUAAUUGUAUAUUGUUAUCUUCAACCAAGCAGCUUAGCAGGAAGUUAGAAGCUGAUAAACAUUCACUUUUUGCACCUGAUUUGCUAUUGGUGCAGGAUAUGGUUAUUAUGCCGGGACUGUAAGGAAAAUAAAUCUACAGGCUAAAAUCCAGCAAGUAUCGCUAAAAUGGUAUGUAGCGGUUUCAUUUCAUUUUAAGUGUGUGUGUGUGUGUUAUCUUUAGUUAUGAUGUUCUGUAUACUCUUCCAGCCUGUACUAUAGUAGGAAACGGACAAACAGAGUGUGCUGGGCUUUUGUAUGUAUGCUACUGUGUAUGUAUACUACUGUGUGUACUGUGUUUUUGUUUAGACAGCCUUUAUGUGAUGUGUAUGUUUUUAUUGAUUCUAUGGAUCCUGGACUCCCUGGAGAACAGUGGCUAUCCUGGCUAAAUAGACUAUCCUGGCUAAAUCAAUGAAAAUAAAUGAAAUGACAGAAUACAAAGUAUACAGACACCAAAAGAACAUUAGGACAGUCUUGUUCCAUGCGCAUAUAGGCAGUGUGCGUCAUGGCUGGAUAGAACUUUCUUUUCACUUUGACAUUAUAGAGUAUUUUGUGCAGAUCAUUGACAAAAAAAUCACAAUUAAAUCUAUUUCAAUCCCACUUUGUAGCACAACAAAAUUUGAAAAAAUCCAAGGGGGUGAAUACUUAUGAUUCCCACUGUAUAGAUUGAAUAAGACAUGGACAUACGGUAGGUACAUUGUUGUGUUUGCUUCUAGGUAUGGUAUGUAAUCCAAUAGAUCUUAUAGAAAACUAGUAUUAUUUGGUGAUCCUCACAUUCCUUGUUUGCCUCGUUGGUUCUCAUUCGACGUGUCCGGCAGUGGGAUUCAAAACCUGUGGAUACUGACUUGUGGGAAAUUUUAUUAGUCACAUGCGCCGAAUACAACAGGUGUAGACCUUACAGUGAAAUGCUUACUUACGAGCCCCUAACCAACAAUGCAGUAUAAAAAAGUACGGAUAAGAAUACGAAAUAAAAAUAACAAGUCAUUAAAGAGCAGCAGUAAAAUAACAAUAGCGAGACUAUAUACAGGGGGGUACCGGCACAGGGUCAAUGUGCGAGGGCACCGGUUAGUUGAGGUAAUAUGUACAUGCAGGUAGAGUUAUUAAAGUGACUGUGCAUAGAUGAUAACAACAGAGAGUAGCAGCAGUGUAAAAGAAGGGGAGGGGGGGUCAACGCAAAUAGUCUGGGUAGCCAUUUGAUUAGAUGUUCAGGAGUCUUAUGGCUUGGGGGUAGGAGCUGUUUAGAAGCCUCUUGGACCUAGACUUGGCACUCCAGUAUCGCUUGCCGUGCGGUAGCAGAGAGAACAGUCUAUGACUAGGGUGGCUGGAGUCUUUGACAAUUUUUAGGUUCUUCCUCUGACACCGCCUGGUAUAGAGGUCCUGGAUGGCAGAAAGCUUGUCCCCAGUGAUGUACUGGGCCAUGUCGCACUACCCUCUGUAGUGCCUUGGGGUCGGAGGCUGAGCAGUUGCCACACCAGACAGUGAUGCAAUCCGUCAGGAUGCUCUCGAUGGUGCAGCUGUAGAUCCUUUUGAGGAUCUGAGGACCCACGGCAAAUCUUUUCAGUCUCCCGAGGUCUGCCUAAUGUUGUCAAUACCAUAGAAUUAGCCAUUAGAAAAUUACUUUAAUAGGAUCUCUAUAGUCAUUGCCCAGGUGCUGUAGCAGUUUGAUCCUUUUUCUACCUGGCUGUUACCAGAGAGACAUCUACACCAGUGUUUCCCAACUCUGGACAAGCACACCUGAUUCUACUUGUAAACUAAUCAUCAAGUACUUGACAAGUUGAAUCAGGUGGUUUUGUCCGGGGCUACAACAAAAAUGUGUGCUGUUGGGGGGUACUUGAGGACCAGAGUUGGGUAACACUGAUCUAUACCAUUCAGCUUGGCCAGUUUGAUUUUGACAAGAAUGCUAUAUACUAUAGACUAUCAGUAACAUUUCAACUUACUACCUACAAAUUUAACCCUAACACUAACCCUUACCCUAACACUAGCCCUAACCUUAACCCUUACCUUUAUUCCAAAACUUACCCUAACCGUAACCAUAGCAGGCAGUUGCUUAUCAAUAGUUAGUCAGUUGAUUAUCAGAUAAUUUGUUGAUAGUAUGACCAUCUGUAGAGCAUCUACAGAAGAACUAUCCAAAUAAAGUGUGACCGAAUAUUUACCUAAUCUUAGUAGUAAUAGUUGAAGAUGUUAAGGAUUUAAGGUUAAUGCAUUAUUCAGAGAAUGAAUCUAUUCUAUGUAAAUGUACUACAUCAUUGAGCACAUCUCAUAUCAGGGCUCUCCAAAACUUGUUCCUGGAGCGCUACCCCCCUGUAGGUCUUCGUUCAAACCCCAGUUGUAACUAACCUGAUUCAGCUUAUCAACCAGCUAAUUAUUACAAUCAGGUGUGCUAGAUAAGGGUUGGAGCGAAAACCUACUGGACGGUGGCUCUCCAGGAAUAGGAUUGGAGAACCCUGCUUUAUAUU
rnacentral:lncRNA from 8 species